rnacentral:rRNA from 1 species
AGAACGAACGCUGGCGGCAUGCCUAAUACAUGCAAGUCGAACGAACUCUUCGGAGUUAGUGGCGCACGGGUGCGUAACGCGUGGGAAUCUGCCCCUUGGUUCGGAAUAACAGUUGGAAACGACUGCUAAUACCGGAUGAUGACGAAAGUCCAAAGAUUUAUCGCCAAGGGAUGAGCCCGCGUAGGAUUAGCUAGUUGGUGAGGUAAAGGCUCACCAAGGCAACGAUCCUUAGCUGGUCUGAGAGGAUGAUCAGCCACACUGGGACUGAGACACGGCCCAGACUCCUACGGGAGCAGCAGUAGGAAUAUGGACAAUGGGCGAAAGCCUGAUCCAGCAAUGCCGCGUGAGUGAUGAAGGCCUUAGGUUGUAAAGCUCUUUACCCGAGUAUGAUAAUGACAGUAGUCGGAGAAUAAGCCCCGAUAACGUCCGU